AUGGAGACUAUCCGGCAUCCAUGGGCAAGCCAUCAUAGCCCAAGCAGAAACACAUAUCAAAACCGGCAGCCGGUCGCCACGAUGUUUCGACGCGCCAAGACCACGACGAUAGCCACACCACCCUCCGAUGGCGAGGUGCGGGUGCAUAAGGUCGAGAAGAUUGAGCUUGUCCGCAAUCUCGUGACCAAGCCGUCGAUCUACUACGGCGCCAACCCGAUGGCAGCAUCGACCAUGAGGCGAGGUGCAGCCGGUCACGGCACGGCCGCCAACACCGGUAAGGCUACUGGCGCCUCGAGGCCGGGGGUCGUGUCCAUAGAGGAUAUUAACAAGAGGUCUGAGGCUUACAUCCGGGAGAGGAAGAGGCUCUUCCAGGGCCUGAAGUAG
rnacentral:rRNA from 1 species